UAUACUGCGAGAAAAGGAGACACAAAGACUCAAGCCUUACUCAUCUUUUCUGUUGGCGUGAAAUCAACACCCUAAGGAACACAAAUUUCUUUAAAUAUUUGACUUCUUUUCUCUUUACUGCAAUUAAUAAAAAAUGACUCUGUAUUUUCCAGGACUGUAUUUUCCAAAGGCAUGCUCCCCCUGACAGCCUUGUAGGCUCUGGGAAAUACUCAGUUUUCUCUCUUCUUUUCCUCAGCAGAGGCUCUAGCUCCUUAUAGGCAACCCAAUGAAAAUAAAAGUCAAUACUCUCCCGAGUUGUGGCCAGUGAGCAUAUAAACUAAUUUCAACAUUA